UACGUAGGGUGCGAGCGUUGUCCGGAUUUAUUGGGCGUAAAGAGCGUGUAGGCGGUUUUACAGGUCCGCUGUGAAAACUCGAGGCUUAACCUCGAGAUGUCAUCGGAAACCAUUUGGCUAGAGUCCGGAAGAGGAGAGUGGAAUUCCUGGUGUAGCGGUGAAAUGCGCAGAUAUCAGGAAGAACACCAAUGGCGAAAGCAGCUCUCUGGGACGGUACUGACGCUGAGACGCGAAAGCGUGGGGGAGCGAACAGG
rnacentral:rRNA from 1 species